rnacentral:rRNA from 1 species
ACCUUACCUACCCUUGACAUGUACGGAAUCCUGCUGAGAGGCGGGAGUGCCCGAAAGGGAGCCGUAACACAGGUGCUGCAUGGCUGUCGUCAGCUCGUGUCGUGAGAUGUUGGGUUAAGUCCCGCAACGAGCGCAACCCUUGUCCCUAGUUGCUACGCAAGAGCACUCCAGGGAGACUGCCGGUGACAAACCGGAGGAAGGUGGGGAUGACGUCAAGUCCUCAUGGCCCUUAUGGGUAGGGCUUCACACGUCAUACAAUGGUCGGAACAGAGGGUUGCCAAGCCGCGAGGUGGAGCCAAUCCCAGAAACCGAUCGUAGUCCGGAUCGCAGUCUGCAACUCGACUGCGUGAAGCUGGAAUCGCUAGUAAUCGCGGA